rnacentral:rRNA from 1 species
AGAGUUUGAUCCUGGCUCAGAACGAACGUUAGCGGUGUGGAUAAGGCAUGCAAGUCGUGCGCGAACGCCUUCGGGUUAGUAAAGCGGCGAACGGGUGAGUAACACGUAAUCAAUCUACCCCCUAGACCGGGAUAACUGCUGGAAACGGCAGGUAAUACCGGAUGGCCUUUCUUGGUGGCAUCACCUUGAAAGUAAACGGCAGCUUCGGCAGUUGCUAGGGGAGGGGAUUGCGGACUAUUAGCUUGUUGGUGGGGUAAUGGCCUACCAAGGCGAUGAUGGUUAGCCGGUCUGAGAGGACGACCGGUCACACUGGGACUGAGACACUGCCCAGACUCCUACGGGAGGCUGCAGUCGAGAAUCUUCCGCAAUGGGCGAAAGCCUGACGGAGCGACACCGCGUGCAGGAUGAAGGCCUUAGGGUUGUAAACUGCUGUCACGUUAUAGGAAUAGCGCAACGUUAAUAGCGUUGCGUCUGACCAAAGCGAAAGGAAGCACCGGCUAACUCCGUGCCAGCAGCCGCGGUAAGACGGAGGGUGCAAACGUUGUUCGGAAUUACUGGGCAUAAAGCGCACGUAGGCGGCGCGUUAAGUCAGGCGUGAAAGCCCUCGGCUCAACCGAGGAACUGCUCCUGAAACUGGCGUGCUCGAGAAUGGUUGGGGUGAGCGGAACUCCUGGUGGAGCGGUGAAAUGCGUAGAUAUCAGGAGGAACACCGGUGGCGAAAGCGGCUCACUGGACCAUCACUGACGCUGAGGUGCGAAAGCUAGGGUAGCGAACGGGAUUAGAUACCCCGGUAGUCCUAGCCGUAAACGAUGGGCACUAGGCAAGGGGGAUUCCUAUGGUCUUCUUUGCCGUAGCAAAUGUGUUAAGUGCCCCGCCUGGGGAGUACGCUCGCAAGGGUAAAACUCAAAGGAAUUGACGGGGGCUCACACAAGCGGUGGAGCAUGUGGUUUAAUUCGAAGCAACGCGAAGAACCUUACCCAGACUUGACAUGUAGGGAUUAACCUUGUGAAAGCAGCCCGGGGAUUGCCUUCGGGUGUAACCUACACAGGUGUUGCAUGGCUGUCGUCAGCUCGUGUCGUGAGAUGUCGGGUUAAGUCCCUUAACGAGCGAAACCCCUAUCACUAGUUGCUAGCAGGUAAUGCUGAGGACUCUAGUGAGACUGCCGGUUGUUAAGACGGAGGAAGGUGGGGACGACGUCAAGUCAUCAUGGCCCUUAUGGCCAGGGCGACACACGUGCUACAAUGGUCCGUACAGAGGGUUCCUAGACCGCGAGGUGGAGGCAAUCCCUAAAGCGGGCCCCAGUUCGGAUUGCAGGCUGCAAUUCGCCUGCAUGAAGCCGGAAUCGCUAGUAAUCGCGUAUCAGCCAUGACGCGGUGAAUAUGUUCCUGAGCCUUGUACACACCGCCCGUCAAGCCACGAAAGCGGGGAGUGCUCGAAGUCGUUUUGCCUAACCUUCGGGAGGGCAGCGCCGAAAGCAAGCUUCGUGAUUGGGACUAAGUCGUAACAAGGUAGCCG